GAUUAACGCUGGCGGCGUGCAUAACACAUGCAAGUCGAACGAAGUGGCGGACGGGUGAGUAACGCGUGAGUAACCUGCCUUAGAGAAGGGGAUAGCCUUUGGAAACGAAGAAUAAUACCCUAUGCGCUAAGAUGUACUUGCGUCUGAUUAGUUAGUUGGUGAGGUAACGGCUCACCAAGACAGCGAUCAGUAGCCGGCUUGAGAGAGUGGCCGGCCACAUUGGGGCUGAGAAACGGACCAGACUCUACGGGAGGCAGCAGUGGGGAAUUUUGCACAAUGGGGGAAACCCUGAUGCAGCGGCGCCGCGUGAUUUAGAAGGCCUUCGGGUUGUAAAAAUCUUUUCUAUGGGAGGCAGUACCAUAGGAAUAAGGACCGGCUAAUUACGUGCCAGCCGCCGCGGUAAUAC
rnacentral:rRNA from 1 species